rnacentral:rRNA from 1 species
AUGGAGCAAAGCUUGUAUGAGAAUCCUACUGCACCAAGUGAGGAGAGCAAUGGUGAUGGCUACAACUACACAGGGGACCUAGACGUGGAUCCAUCUAGUGCUAUGUGGUAUCAGAGCCAUGGUUUCGAGGGCCACGCAGAUACUGAACUAGAACCAGCCCUACAGCCAAAUAUAGAGCAGCAACAGCUACACCACUUCCCUAUUCCACGACUACACCAACCUGACUUUAUCCACCCACACAUGAGUGUCAGCUCGAGGGAGUACAAGGAGGCUGCUACCUAUGCAAGGGUACUUGGGCUUGGCGCGAGUGGCAGCGACGGAAUGAGUAAGACAGAGGAGGACAUAAUCCUACGAGACAGAAGUAAUAGGAUGAAUAACAAUGGUUUGAGUGAGCAAGACCUUAUCUUUCGUUUGGGAUCAAGCGCCCAUGAUCAGCAUGGGGGUACUCCAGCUUCAGAAGAUCAAAGUGUUCUACCUAGACCGGUGCAACUUCCAAGCAACCCAAAAGUUGGCAAUGCUGGAACUUCUGGACUUAUGGGUGAAGAAGGCAAUCUGGGAGAUGUCCUUAAGUUCAUGGAGAAUUCUCGAAGGGAGUCCCAAGAUAACGAGAACCGCUUGCUCGAAGCGAUACUGACAAGACUAGUUCCUGGAGGAGCACACCUACCCGGUGUGGGAGUUAGCUUGGGAGAAUUUUUGAAAACCCAGCCACCCACAUUCUCCAAGGCGGUGGAUCCACUAGAGGCGGAUGGCUGGCUAUUAGAAGUAGAACAUAAUCUAGAAACCUUUCAAGACCUUGUCAACAAGGCCUUCGUACUGAAGAAUGAACAUGCCAACCUAAGUGAAGAGAGAAGGAAGAAAGCUAGGGUAGAUCCACACCCCAUGAUGCAGCACCCACGUCUUAUGAUGCAUGGACCAGUGCGUCCUCAUAUGCCACCACCACGGCCUAGAUUCCCUACUCAGCCAACCUUUGUUCCUAAAUGUGGGAAGUGUGGAAAGGGUCAUGCUACUCGUGAUUGUAUGACCGGUAUAGGACUUUGCUUCAAUUGUGGGAGACCAGGACACCACAAGCUCAAUUGCACCUCUCCUCCCGCAAAUCCUACAAGGCCACCUAUGCAGCAGACUCAAGUGCAUCGUCCACCAGCUGGGCGAGGACAAGGCGGACCUAUGAGCUAUGCAGCAAGAGGAGUUGGGCAUGGAGGACAAGUAGGAGGACAGCCAAGGCUGAAUUAUAUGGCUGCAGAGCAACUAGAAGAAGCUACAGAUGUUGUCAUCGGUAAACUACUCAUUCCUCCUUCAGUUGGUACAAUUCUUUUUGAUACCGGUGCCGCUCACUUGUUUAUUUCUCAAGAUUUCGUGAAUAAGAAUGGAUUAACAUGCACACCGUUGGAAAAAGCUUUAGGAGUUAACUCACCUGGAGGGAAGAUUACAGUAGAGGCAAUGUGCAGAAAUCAACCAAUAACAAUCCAGAACACCAAUUUUUUAGCAAACCUGCAUGUCAUAGAGAUGUCAGGGUUAGAAAUAAUCCUUGGGAUGGAUUGCUUGGCUGCUAAUGGAGUGAUAGUAGAUUAUGAACAUAAAGGAGGAAGGCUAGAACAAGAACUUAGCCAACUGGACUGGGAUCUGGAAGUAGGAGCAACACUAGAAGAAACAGCAGAGAAGGCAAAAGAAGAAAGGGAGAGGAACAAGCGCGUCACUAACCUGCACUUAUGCUUGAUAUGCUCCAUGGCUAUGCCUUUGAACUCUGAUCUGCAACACCCAGCGCACCGCGGCCGCCAACGCCGGGAGCUUCGAUCUGGAGCAGCGAAAUCAAAGCCCAAUAAGAGCCUCACCUGCAAGUCAAAUCUGAGAGGGGAUUAG